GGCCCCGUAGCUCAGCGGUUAGAGCAAGCGACUCAUAAUCGUAAGGUCCCCGGUUCGAAUCCGGGCGGGGCUA
rnacentral:tRNA from 1 species